rnacentral:rRNA from 1 species
AUGGCGGUAGCAAGGUCUGAGUCAGUCUUUUUAGCACUCCUAUGCUACUUCAUGAUAGUGAAUCUACCCAUGCAUCCAUAUCUGGAGUCCUCUUCAUAUGAUGAUGCAGAAGAGCACAUUGCUGCUAUUGAAGCCAAAGGUAAGACCUUGAGUGGGGGUGGAGGCUGGAUUGUGAGCCAGAUGCCCCAUCAACAGGGGCGAUCCGUGUCCUGGGGCCGUUGGAUCACAACAACGCCACGACAGCAGCGCAUCGCGGCAGCUUCACAACGCCAUUGCUACCCCGCGCGGUUCUUGAACGCAACACCGACGACGUCCUGCGAGCUCCAUUGCAGCCCCGGCGGAGCUCCAUUGCAGCCCCGGCGGAGCUCCAACACAGCGCCGACGCUCCGGCGAAGCUCCAUUGCAACUCUGGACGAGCUCCACUAUAGCCAUGACGUGUCCGGCGAGACUCCAAUGCAGCACCGCCGGCUCCGCUCUCCUCUGCUUGCAUCAAUGGCGGAGACACCAUGGUUUGCAGCAGGGGGGGUAGCACGCGUGGAGGGGCACAUAUGGCUAGCAUGGGAGGCGUUGGAGAAGAAGGUGCAUGUGGGAAUGCCCUACAGACUGAUGAACAUGAAUCAUAGGAACCACCAAAGCAUGAAGGGAACAACCAGUAUGGAUUGGGAACAACAAGAUGAACUGGCUUUUGUUGGCACUCUUGCAUACAUUGAAGAUUUUGCGGCAUUUGGUUGCAUCUGA